UAGGCCCAACAAAUCUUUCCGACUGUCUGUUCCUCCUCCCACGCAUCCAGGAUCAAACGACAAACCCUAACCAUCCUCUCCAGCGCCACCAUCCUCCCAUUCCCCUGUCGCCUCUCUCUGCCGGCCGGCAGCUGCACCUCCAGCACCCCAUGCCACAGCCCCACCUCCAUCGCUCCGCCCAGAAACUCGUUGACAUCGACGAGAUCGACUUCCACGAGCACCUCCCCUUCGCCAGACAUCUCCCGGUGCAGUCGACCGUAGGGCGGGGCUGUAGAGGAAGAGGUCGUGCGACUCGAGCUUGCUGUGGCUUACGGAGAGGCGGUCGGUGGCGGUUUCGUGGUGCGAGAUGGUAGGGACUAGCGACCGGCGUGCAUCGGGGCCACGAUUCCGCGACCAGGUCAGAGCGCCGUAACAGCAACAGGCGGCGGCCAGGCCUGGGUGGCUUGGGGUGUGAUAAUCGCAUCUCGUGUCGCAGGGGUGGCCAAUUUUUUCCAACAGCGCACCGCACGUUCUGCUCUUGGUUUUGAAUCUGGAGGGGGAGAAGUCCGCACCCUGUUUGCCACACAUGUAAGGGAGAAUGUGAAAAUAAUUUAGUACUACUGGAAAUUCAGAUUCCCUUUUCACCUGUAUAUUUUAUUGUCAUGAACCAAGUUGCGUUCUCUGCCUGAUUGUUUUUAUUAGAAAUAUAAAUGUAAAGAUAUUUUUUCUCGAACACAUGCUAUUGUAAAGAUAUAUUUCAGUUUCAUUUUUAAGUAAUAGAGGUUUAUUUCAUUUAUUACUAGAUUUAUAUCUGAUCUUUGUGCAAUCCAUCUAGCUUAACCAUUGAAGGGGACUACUACAAUGGACGUGAUAAAGAUAUUUGCUUCCUCGAGGAACAGUAUAAUCUUUCCUAUUAUACCCUAUCAUUUCCAUGAUUACAUGUGGUUCCUUCUGUAUUUUUCAGGUUCCAUGUCCAAACAUUGAGUGGCAAUCAGAAUUUCGUGACCGACUAUGUUCAAAAUUGAAGGGGAUGCCAGCCGGAGUGAUCCUUGCAGUACAGACAAUCAUAAUAAAUGAAUUUUUUGUCCAACUAUUCUGUUUUAGGGCAUAUGGUGAAAUUUUCCUUACAUAGCAUUUCAGAGCCUAUUUGGAUAAGUGAGCGUGUCCAUUUAUAAUGCUCCUUCAUUAUGUAUGUGCUCAGUUCCCAUGGCCCGCAAUGCAACUUCUUAUUUGUAGCAGCAUCUAUAUAUUCAUGUUAUUUUCUAUUUCAUAGAUAAAUAAUGCUCACUACGUGCUCCACUUAAGUGAUGAGUAAGUGAAUAGAAAGUUAGGCUAUGGUGUUCUCACCUGAAUUUUUUUACUUUUUGUGAACUUCAUAAUCAGGAUCAGCAGCUAAUUAUGUCCACAUGCAUAGAACACUUUGUUUACCUGAAUAACUUUUGGUUUAUCAUUUGCAAAAAUUCUCAUCGGUGUUGACCCCUGCUUUGUCUAUUUUAGUCAUCAAGGAGGUAAUUAUAUGACUGCAGUUAGAAAUCACAUUGAUGCAGGAUAUAGCUAUGGUUAUCAAGGUCAAGGGUGAGGCGCUGUCAUCUUUCAAGCCAUCAGGUAGUCUUGUACUCGCAUAAAACUCAGAGCUUUUGUUUCCUUGGGAUCGGUACUAGAUGAUGGACUACUAUAUUGCUAUAUAUUUGGAUGAUGCAUGAAUCUUUUUAUAACAGAAAAAACAACGGGCCAAAGAACAUCAGUUCAUUCAAAUAGUAUAGGAAAUGUUUAUUGACGAUGAGAGUAUUUUUAUUAUUUCUCGCUCUCGUGGACAACAUAUGAGCCUGAUAUUUGUCACUUUGUGACACCAAAUUUUCUUGAACACAACCCUCCAUUAGCAUAUUCUGGUGGUUCUUAUUCUAACAGGAUAGAGUGUAGAGUGUAACACUUGCCCAUCUAACUACAUUUAGAAGAGGAGGCAUCCUUGCAGGCAAUGGAAAGGACAUCAACAUGAUUAUUUCUUCUCUAAAGAAUUUGCUACUGUAUAUAUUUUUGUGUUUGGUGAAUUCAGUACCUGCUGGUUUGUAGGAUAACAGUGGAUGAUACCUUAUUUUAUAUCGUUAUGUGAUACCUGGUAUGUAAUGCUACAUUUGAUCAAGACUGCAGCAACUCAUAUCUGUCGAAGCUUAUCAUUUUGCAUGACUACCCAUUUUUAGCUUGUAUCUUUUGUAUUCAAGAUUUCCACAUAGAAGAUGAGUAGAGGGUAUUGAGAUAUUCUGUCGUGAAAAUUGUCUCUCAAGAAAUCAAGGAAUUUGCUUGCAGGUAUGUACCUUAAUAAUAUUGUCGAGGGAUUGAUCUUUAGCUCUAAUCAGUAUCCCGGGUGAUUUUUUUUGUCGGAAGUAAACAUUUUUGCAACUUGUACAAAGCACAAUAUUACUCAUGUGUUAUCAGUCUAAUGUAAUGUUCUCCGCUAAGCGGACAGCUUGGGUGGUAGCAUGUGUGUAGUUUAUUCUUGCUUCAUGAUGUAUUAUAUAUGGGUAGGUGCAUGAUAAUGGAUUAGUUAAAUUCUAUUACUAUUCAUCAAUGGCUUGAUUAGUUCUUGGAGAACACAUAAAAUCUGACCAUACCUUACAUAUUUUUGUUUGGUUGUUUGAAGACGGUGAUUUUGGUUGAAAAUCAUCUCUUCAUGACCAGUGGGAACAUUUUUAGUGCAUAUCUCUAUUUUUGGUAUCUCCACUCUAUAAUAUCACAGAGAAUGACUCUUAUCAUUUUCGUUUUCAGUUGUGCCCAGAUGUUUCCCUUGGUGACAAUGCAUAUGUCAUGUUUCAAGCUUGCCUCUCGUGAGGCUUUUGGUCUGGAUCAGCGAAAUAGGUUUUAAGCUAUUGGACUUGGAAAGAUCAUAACACGAAGUUAGCUUCAAUAAUUUAUUUUUCUUGAUAUUUUAGAAGCAACACCAGUUCAUGUUGCUAAGGAGAAGGAUUUAAAAUAUGGACAAAAAGAGUUUUUUUAAACCAUUUUCUUCCAGUGAAUUUGAUGUAUGGGGCAUGUAACAUACAGUGGUAGCGAUUUUGAUGUAUCAGAGCAUGUAGCAAAGCAAUGCUAGGAUAUCAAGGAUUGGAGAAAGUGAGCUUUAAUUCAUUUUGUUUCGCUCUUCUGGUUGUAAGCUCAAUUUCUGCGAAUCUUCUUAAGUAAAUAAAGUUGUCUUCUUACUUUUGAGAGGCGAAGAAA